rnacentral:rRNA from 1 species
GACGAACGCUGGCGGCGUGCUUAACACAUGCAAGUCGAACGGAAAGGCCCUGCUUUUGUGGGGUGCUCGAGUGGCGAACGGGUGAGUAACACGUGAGUAACCUGCCCUUGACUUUGGGAUAACUUCAGGAAACUGGGGCUAAUACCGGAUAGGAGCUCCUGCUGCAUGGUGGGGGUUGGAAAGUUUCGGCGGUUGGGGAUGGACUCGCGGCUUAUCAGCUUGUUGGUGGGGUAGUGGCUUACCAAGGCUUUGACGGGUAGCCGGCCUGAGAGGGUGACCGGCCACAUUGGGACUGAGAUACGGCACAGACGCCUACGGGAGGCAGCAGUGGGGAAUAUUGCACAAUGGGCGGAAGCCUGAUGCAGCAACGCCGCGUGCGGGAUGACGGCCUUCGGGUUGUAAACCGCUUUCGCCUGUGACGAAGCGUGAGUGAAGGUAAUGGGUAAAGAAGCACCGGCUAACUACGUG